rnacentral:rRNA from 1 species
GAUGAACGCUGGCGGCGUGCUUAACACAUGCAAGUCGAACGAUGAUCUCCAGCUUGCUGGGGGGAUUAGUGGCGAACGGGUGAGUAACACGUGAGUAACCUGCCCUUAACUCUGGGAUAAGCCUGGGAAACUGGGUCUAAUACCGGAUAUGACUUCCCAUCGCAUGGUGGGGGGUGGAAAGCUUUUGUGGUUUUGGAUGGACUCGCGGCCUAUCAGCUUGUUGGUGAGGUAAUGGCUCACCAAGGCGACGACGGGUAGCCGGCCUGAGAGGGGGACCGGCCACACUGGGACUGAGACACGGCCCAGACUCCUACGGGAGGCAGCAGUGGGGAAUAUUGCACAAUGGGCGGAAGCCUGAUGCAGCGACGCCGCGUGAGGGAUGACGGCCUUCGGGUUGUAAACCUCUUUCAGUAGGGAAGAAGCGUAAGUGACGGUACCUGCAGAAGAAGCGCCGGCUAACUACGUGCCAGCAGCCGCCGUAA